GACGAACGCUGGCGGCGUGCUUAACACAUGCAAGUCGAACGAUGAAGCCCAGCUUGCUGGGUGGAAGAGUGGCGAACGGGUGAGUAACACGUGAGUAACCUGCCCUGAACUCUGGGAUAAGCACUGGAAACGGUGUCUAAUACUGGAUGCGACCUAUCACCGCAUGGUGUGUGGGUGGAAAGAUUUAUCGGUUCUGGAUGGACUCGCGGCCUAUCAGCUAGAUGGUGAGGUAAUGGCUCACCAUGGCGACGACGGGUAGCCGGCCUGAGAGGGUGACCGGCCACACUGGGACUGAGACACGGCCCAGACUCCUACGGGAGGCAGCAGUGGGGAAUAUUGCACAAUGGGCGCAAGCCUGAUGCAGCAACGCCGCGUGAGGGAUGACGGCCUUCGGGUUGUAAACCUCUUUUAGUAGGGAAGAAGCGAAAGUGACGGUACCUGCAGAAAAAGCACCGGCUAACUACGUG
rnacentral:rRNA from 1 species